AGCUAUUCAAGAUCUGGCCAGAUCGACUUGAUCAUAAUAUUGAGGGAUUGGAACUUUUCUCGAAAAACUCUGAAUCUUGCACCUAAAAAGUGCAUUUCUUUUUGAAAAUAAGCAAGAGCAGAGCAUAAAAUGGAGCAAGGAAGAUAGUAGUCACUUCGAAAACAAGCACACACAUAAAGCAAAACAAAUUAAGGUUGGUAGAAAAGUGAAUAGGAGAGGUAGCCUUUCUAGCCAUCGAAGCAAGAAUUUUAGAAUGUUAU
rnacentral:lncRNA from 1 species